rnacentral:ncRNA from 2 species
AAAGGACACUGGGGGAGAUGGACGAGGCCAUCUGAGAGUAAGGUCCGAUGAAACCUUAGACCCUUUGAACCUGAUCUGGAUUAUACCAGCGUAGGGAAGUGGGAAAAUAUGCAC